AACUAACGCUGGCGGCGUGCCUAACACAUGCAAGUCGAACGAGAAAGUUGGCUUCGGCCGAUGAGUAAAGUGGCGCACGGGUGAGUAACGCGUGGAUAAUCUGCCCUUUAGUUUGGAAUAACGUACCGAAAGGUGCGCUAAUACCGGAUAAUACUUAAUUACUACUGUCGUUUAGUCAAAGCAGGCUUCUGUUUACAUUCUUUUGCUGUAGGAUGAGUCCGCGUACCAUUAGCUAGUUGGUAGGGUAAUGGCCUAGCAAGGGGACGAUGGUUAGCAGGUCUGAGAGGAUGAUCAGCCACACUGGAACUGAGACACGGUCCAGACUCCUACGGAAGGCAGCAGUGAGGAAUAUUGGGCAAUGGGGGCAACCCUGACGCAGCAACGCCGCGUGGGUGAGGAGGGCCUUCGGGUUGUAAAGCACUUUCAGUGGGGAGGAAAAGCUGGUGGCUAAUAUCCAUCGGCCGUGUCGCUACCCACAGAAGAAGCACCGGCUAAUUCCGUGCCAGCAGCCGCCGUAAUAC
rnacentral:rRNA from 1 species